rnacentral:lncRNA from 7 species
AUGGAGUGUUUCUCUUCUCUCUCUUCUUGUCCUCCAUGUUGCCUGUUGGCGCCUCGGUGGAGUUUCAGUGACCCAAAUGCAGACUGCUCUGCGUUGCCCAAGCGUGAUGCCAAGAGAAGAGAUAGGCACCAGAACAGGCUGCUGGUGAGUGCUGUGCAUGACUCGGGGUUCCUAGAACGUCCACUCUUUCUUACUAACCCGUGUUGUUCAGCACCAAACAUGAAGGUUUCUUCUUUCCUUCCAGGACUGGAGACUCCACCACCAGGUGCCGUUGUCAUUCCUGACCUCCCCAGGUUGCGGCGUUGGACGUGCCCUGAUCCUUGGAAAGGGGAGGCAGUGGAGAGUUGUGACCCUCCCGAGUGCUGCAAAGGCUCUACUGAGGCUCUUGGUGGACACAGCAGGAACCCGCACGCACAGAUGGAUGCCAAGAUCCGCUCCUUCCUCUGUCUGGCAAACUCUGCUGACCCCUGAGGUUGUUCCCAUGCUUGCAGAGGUUGUAUGGGCUUGGUGUUGGUUGUUGCUUGUGCUCACCUUGCUGUCACCGGGUGUUCUUCCUUUGCCCAUCAUAGGGCUCCCCAGUUCUGAUGGGAUCUCCGUGCCUUCUGCUGAUCCCAGAGAACAUGGGUUUGUUCUCUUAUAUCCAGGUUCGUUAUCAUUUUUUCAUGUUAUGCAAUGUUUCUCUUCCUUCCUUUUUUUUUUUUUUUUUUUUCCUCCCCCCAGGCUGCCAACUGAUCCCUCUCGUGUCUGCAGUAACCCGAAUGUAGUCUAGUAAGGUUUGCUCAAGUGAGAUGGAAAAUGAAGAGGUAGGCUCCAAAACAGACUUACGGUAAGUGUUUUGUAUGGCUUGGGGCUUCAAGCAUGUCAUCUGUUUUUCUGUGUAACCCAUGUGGUUCAGUACCUGAUAGGAAGGUUUCUUCUUUCCUUCUAGUAUUGGAGACUUAUCCACCACAUGGUGAUGCCUUCCCUGACCUCCUUGAUUGCAGUGUGGGAUGUGCCCUGAUCCUUGGAAAGGGGUGAGUGAUUCCUUCAUCCUUACUAGAAGGUAAUCUCUACUUACCUUUUCUUGUGUCCAUCAGGUGGCACUGAAGAGUUGUGACCCUGCUGAGCAGUGCAAGGACUCUACUGAGGCUCUUGGUGGACACAGCAAGAACCCACACCCAUAGAUGGAUGCCAAUAUCUAUUCCUUCCUGUCUGGCAAGCUCUGUUGUCCCCUGAGGUCGUUCCCAUGCUUGCAGAGGUCCUAUGGGCUUGUUGUUGGUUUACCCUUGUGCUCACUUGGCUUUCCAAGGGUGUUCCUCUUACUUGACAACACCUUUCCCAGUCUCCAUUUCCAAGCAGGAGCUCCCCUUGGCCUCCGUGUCUCGCUCUGGCCAGGCAGAUGUGGUGCGCCAACGGUAUGCAGAGUCCAGACCCUGAGCAGAACAACUGAGGAGAGAGGCUGCCCUGGGUGAGACAGGAGAAGUGCCCCUUGAAGCGGGGGACGCCCCGCUGGCGCUGCCUCUCGCAUCCACCGGCAGCCAGCACGUUCCUUCUCUCUCCUUGCUGCCCGGCGCUUUGCCGUCUCCCAGGGCUCACCAAGUCCAAAUGUUCCCUGAUGGAGUCCAACUCCAGCUUGACCAACACUCACCCGGUCUGUCCCCGCACCAGCUGGCUUAGGGCUCCCCAGCAGUGCUGGCUGUCGUGCCUUCUGUCGCUCCCAGUCAGCACGGCUCUGUUCUUUGCUUUUUGGGUUCCAGAGCGUUUGCUACAGGUUAUGGAGUGUUUCUCUUCUCUCUCUUCUUGUCCUCCAUGUUGCCUGUUGGCGCCUCGGUGGAGUUUCAGUGACCCAAAUGCAGACUGCUCUGCGUUGCCCAAGCGUGAUGCCAAGAGAAGAGGUAGGCACCAGAACAGGCUGCUGGUGAGUGCUGUGCGUGAGCUGGGGUUCUUAGAAUGACUUGUGUUCCUCCCUAACCCGUGUUGUUCAGUACUACUAUUGAGGGUUUUAACUUUGAUUCUAGGAUAGGAGACUCUGCCAUCAGAUGGCGUUGCCUGUUCUUCUCUCCCCAGUUUGCAGAGUUGGAUGUGACCUCAGCACUGGAUAAGGGGUAAGUGAUUCCUCCAUCCUGACCAGAAGGUAAUCUCUACUUGUCUUGUGCUGUGUGGAACAGGUUGCAGUGGAGAAGUGCAGUUGUCCGGGGCGCUGCAAGGACUCUAUUGAGGCAUUUGGUGGACGCCGCAGGAACCCACAGCCAGAGGUGGAUGCCAAGAUGCACAUCUUCCUCUGUCUGGCAAGCUCUGCUGACCCCUGAGGUUUUUCCCAUGCUUGCAGAGGUUGUAUGGGCUUGGUGUUGGUUGUUGCUUGUGCUCACCUUGCUGUCACCGGGUGUUCUUCCUUUGCCCAUCAUAGGGCUCCCCAGUUCUGGUGGGAUCUCCGUGCCUUCUGUUGAUCCCAGAGUACUUCAAUUUGUUCUUUUAUUUUCAGGUUCUGUACCAUUUCAUGCUUUUGUGAUGUGUUUUUCUUCCUUUUGUUUUACAGGAUGGAAAUGUACACCUGGUUGGAUCUACGAUGACCCAAAUGCAAUCUAGUAAGGUUUGGCCAAGUGUGGUGGGAAAGGAAGAUGUAGGCUCCUAAGCAAACUUCUGGUGAGGGCUGUGUUUCAUUUGGGUUUUUCUGGGAUGCCCACUACUCCUCCCUACCCCAUUUUGUUCAUUACCGUGUGUGAAGGAUACUUUUUUCCUUCUAGGAUUGGGGACACCAGCACCAGAUGCUCUUGCACUUCCUGACCUCCCUGGGUGGCAGCAUUGGAAGUGCCUGGACCCUUGGAAAGGGCUAAGUGAUUCCUUCAUCAUUACCAGAAUGUAGUUUGUGUUCACAGGUGACGGUGGAGAACUGUGGCCUUCUGUUCAGCGCAAAAAGUCUACUGAGGAUCUAGGUGGAUAGAACAGGAACGCAGAGCAAUAGUUGGAUGCCAAUAUGCACAUCUUCCUCUGUCUGGCAAGCUCUGCUGACCCCUGAGGUCGUUUCCAUGCUUGCAGAGGUCCUAUCUGCUUGGUGUCGGUUGUGUCUUGUGUUCACUUGGCUUUCACCGGGUGUUGUUGCCUUAUAAUAUUUUCCCAACCUGUUUCCAAGCAGGAGGUCCCCUUGGCCUCCGUGUCUCGCUCUGGCCAGGCAGAUGUGGUGCGCCAACGGUAGCAGAGUCCAGACCCUGAGCAGAACAACUGAGGAGAGAGGCUGCCCUGGGUGAGACAGGAGAAGUGCCCCUUGAAGCGGGGGACGCCCCGCUGGCGCUGCCUCUCGCAUCCACCGGCAGCCAGCACGUUCCUUCUCUCUCCUUGCUGCCCGGCGCUUUGCCGUCUCCCAGGGCUCACCAAGUCCAAAUGUUCCCUGAUGGAGUCCAACUCCAGCUUGACCAACACUCACCCGUCUUGUCCCGCACCAGCUGGCUUAGGGCUCCCCAGCAGUGCUGGCUGUCGGUGCCUUCUGUCGCUCCCAGUCAGCAGGCUCUGUUCUUUGCUUUUUGGGUUCCAGAGCGUUUGCUACAGGUUAUGGAGUGUUUCUCUUCUCUCUCUUCUUGUCCUCCAUGUUGCCUGUUGGCGCCUCGGUGGAGUUUCAGUGACCCAAAUGCAGACUGCUCUGCGUUGCCCAAGCGUGAUGCCAAGAGAAGAGGUAGGCACCAGAACAGGCUGCUGGUGAGUGCUGUGCGUGAGUGGGGUUCUUAGAAUGACUUGUGUUCCUCCCUAACCCGUGUUGUUCAGUACUACUAUUGAGGGUUUUAACUUUGAUUCUAGGAUAGGAGACUCUGCCGUCAGAUGGCGUUGCCUGUUCUUCUCUCCCCAGUUUGCAGAGUUGGAUGUGACCUCAGCACUGGAUAAGGGGUAAGUGAUUCCUCCAUCCUGACCAGAAGGUAAUCUCUACUUGUCUUGUGCUGUGUGGAACAGGUUGCAGUGGAGAAGUGCAGUUGUCCGGGGCGCUGCAAGGACUCUAUUGAGGCAUUUGGUGGACGCCGCAGGAACCCACAGCCAGAGGUGGAUGCCAAGAUGCACAUCUUCCUCUGUCUGGCAAGCUCUGCUGACCCCUGAGGUUUUUCCCACGCUUGCAGAGGUUGUAUGGGCUUGGUGUUGGUUGUUGCUUGUGCUCACCUUGCUGUCACCGGGUGUUCU